AUGGCAACUCUCAGUUUUGCUGUAGUUACACUGAGGCGCCUCUCUGGCUGACUUUAGUAGUAUGAAAAGAUAAACUGUUUUACUUUCUAAUGAUGAGUCUUAAGUUUGCCAAAAGAGCAACUUCAUGAUUCAGAUUUGUGAAAGGUAAAAAUUUGUCAGCCUUUUCAGGUUUCCCCCAAGAGAAGAUAAUCUUUCACAAUGCUAGUGUUAGUUGAUUGAGGUUGAAUUGAGCUCUUUUGGCACAUUUAAGGACAUCUGAAAUCUAAACCCUGAUUGGCUUUUGCUGCACAGUAUCAAGCAGAUUUGUUGCUCAAGUUGAAAUAUGUUUUAUCUAGAUGGGAUUGUUAGCUGCACUUGCACACAGAAAUCAGUGUAAAGUGAUAAAUCAAUUGUUGUCAGAUUGCUGCUGAUGUGGGAGCUGGAAUGUUGUUACAGUGGAUUGUGUUCAGCCUGCUUUUGCUCCCAACACAGGCUGUUUUUCCUGCUUAAACCAAAGCCUGCUGUUAUUUGAGAGAAGGUCCAGACUGUACUCCUUGUUCUAUUAUUCAUAAUGACCUCAUUCAAAGAUUCUGCUUCAAAUUGUGAAUUUUGCAGGCAGUUGACACGCUCUUGGGUAUUGCAAAUGUUUUCAGAUACUGUUAGUAGUACAAUUGUUUAAAUGGAGAGCAAAAGCGGUGGACUGGAUCCUUGAUCUGACAGUGAUAUGGCUUUUUAUCAAAUACGUUAAACAGACAUCUGCUUGCAAGUGGUACUAACAGUCUGCUUUUAGACUUCACCUCUUAACUCAAAUCCAGUUCUUGCUUCACAAGUUGCUAGUCAGACUGCAAAUACAGGCAGCACAGGUUAGAAGAAGUCUGGGGCAGACGUAUUUUAUCACUAACUCCCUCACUCAAAACUCCCAGGAAUAUACAGUUGUAGUUUUGAGAUAGAGAGAGAGACACAUUCGCUCCAUGAGGAAGCACUUGGUAACAGUGGCAAGGAAAAAGUCUCUUAACACGCAGAAACCUUGAGCAGAACCAGGCUCAUGGUUGAACAGCCAUCUGCCGUGACUGGGUGUGUUACAAAAAACAUACACCCUGACAGACAGAGAGAUAUACAGACAAAAAUAAUCACAAGAAAAUAAGGACUUAUCAGUGCUGCAAGUUGUCCAGAACACUCUGGUACGCAAUAUGGCCACUUCUAAAUUCAACUCCUUGGCGUACUGGGACUCUUACCGGUGUACCAGGACUUCCUGCCAGCUGCUAGUACCCUUUCCUGUCCUCUUCAUACAACAGUUCCUCUUGGCGAUUCUUACCGGCAACCAAAAUACGUUACCCAUGGCGCACUGUGUGACGCUCGCAUCCUCAUGUGGACAUUACAUCAUGAUGCUCAUUCUGUUUGCAACGGCAAGUCAAGUCAAGUUAAUGCUACCUCCCAAGUCUCUGACUGGAAAAGGGCACAAAGAGGACAGGAACUGAAGCAGAGCUGGAUGAUGACACAGCCACUCUCCUCUCCUAUCCAUGUCUGUUUUUGUUUUGUGAUGGAAGUGGAGUCAACUCGCUUUCAUCGCUCUCUGGUUAAGUCCUCCAGUGAAGCCCCUGAUGACUCCUUUCCACCAGGGAUGCAGAAGUUAUUUGUUUGUGUGACAGACUGAAGGCUUUUCAAUGAAUACAUGUUGUGGAAAUCA